rnacentral:rRNA from 14 species
GUGAAUCAGAAUGUCACGGUGAAUACGUUCCCGGGCCUUGUACACACCGCCCGUCACACCAUGGGAGUGGGAUGCAAAAGAAGUAGUUAGUCUAACCUUCGGGAGGACGAUUACCACUUUGUGUUUCAUGACUGGGGUGAAGUCGUAACAAGGUAACCCUAGGGGAACCUGGGGUUGGAUCACCUCCUU